CACAGACCGUGAGAUCACGACCUGAGCCUAAGUCCGAUGCCUAACCGACUGAGCCAUCCAGGCGCCCCUCUUGUGCUCUCUUACAGGGUCAUUCCUGUUAGAGAACAGGUCAUUCCUGUCGGAUAAAAAUCCCUGUAAGCCUGGUGUUUUAGUCAAGGUGCACUUCUGGCUCGUUGAGUUUGGUAACGUGUUUUCAACACCGAUCCUAUCUCAGCUCUAGCCUGCAUUAGAGAGGACCAGUGACUCACACAGAGAUAUAGACAGCCAUCUCUGUAAGGAGCUGUGGGCUUUGUAAAGAGGGCGGGGCAUUUCCCUCCCGUUGCCAUGGAGAGAGGUGUGGCACACUAAGGGGGAGGUUCUCUACUCUGGAGACUGGGGUCCUGGCUCCAGCGGCAACAAUUCCACUCCCCAGGCAGAUACCUGCUGAGCUGCCUCCAGCUGGGCAGAGUGGAGCACAGUGAAGACAAGCGGGUGGGGGGGGGGGGUUGUAAAUAUAGAAACAGGUGCCUGCUUCCCACAUAGAGAAUUUGGUAGCUGGGAGGUUGCUAAAGCAGCCCAUGAAAAUGAGGCAAGGAGACAGGUGUCAGUAGUGGCAAGCUCAGCUUCCAUUUGGCACAGAAAAAAAAAAAAUGUGUGUCCUCCUUGAGUCCAGAACACUGGACAGGUAGAGAGUUUGAGCAGUUACUGCUAGUUCUUUGCCUGAGAAGUAGAACUUUUGGGGUGAGAUGGCCCAGGCAGUGGACCCAGACUGUGAUAUGCAUGGUGCAUGCUGAUGUAGGAGAUUGUGUGUGUGUGUGUGUGUGUGUGUGUGUGUGUGUGUGUGUGUGCGCACAUGCACAAAUGGGGUUGGGGAGAUGGCUCAUAAAAGGCCGGUCAAAUGGUUGUUCAACCAUAGUAGGGCACUAGGCGUGGGCAGUCCCCUGUGGGGCUCUGAAGAAUCUACAAAUGUAAGUUUCCCAUGAAAGUUCCAGCACGUGACUGCCUCACACAGCCAACUUUGACAGCCAAGAGACAAUUGCAAACAGCACAAGCUGAUGUAGAAAGAUAGCCCCCACUCCACUGAUGUCUUUCUCCUUGUGUUGACCCUAGAGGAGCAACGAGCAGCCGGGUGAUAGUGAGGAGCAGUGAGCAAAAGGAAAGGUCACUGCAGGUCACACAAGAUGGGGCAGAAGGAGAGAAGCUUUGAAUUGGCGGAGAUUGAAAUUUUGAUAUGAGAUCACUAGACCUUUAAUAAAUGAAGGAAUCGUGGAGCGCCUGGGUAGCUCAGUCGGUUCAGCAUCCAACUUCGGCUCAGGUCAUGAUGUCACAGUUAGCGAGUUUAAAGCCCCACGUCUGGCUCUGCACUGACAGCUUGGAGCCUGCUUCAGAUUCUGUGUCUCGCUCCUCUCUCUCUGCCCCUCCCCAACUCAUGCUCUGUCUGUCUCUCUCUCUCAAAAAUAAAUAAACAUUAAAAAAAAAUUUUACAAAUGAAUGAAUCCUAAUUUCCACAAAUAAGACUGUUCCUACAAAUGAAAGUGAUUGAAAAUCUGCAAGGUCUUCCUGAGAAUCUGUCUAGCCAUGGGAAGGGAGAGUCAACAAAAUAUGCCACACAUAGUGAUGAGAGAAACACGAAACCAUAUCCUUAAAUCCCUGUCAUUCAAUAAGCCAGUUUCCAACCCCAUAGAGUACCGAUGAGAAUACCCCAUAGAACAUUUGAUGAGAUUCUAAAAUGAAUCCUUUGCAAAUAAGGACGCCUCUUCCCUUACCAUCUUCUGUAUCUUAUAACAAGCUUGUUUGGGUUUUUCUUGUCUAAAACCGAAGUCUCUGUAGCCAAAAAAAUCAAAAUCAUCCUCUUCUAAGCUUUACUUGCAAACAUUGCUUCUUACAGUUGAAUUAAAGCAAAUUGUCUUCAUUAAUUAGUGUCAAAGGUGAAUUUAUUCUGGAGGUUUGUUUUGAGUCAUGAGACAUAAUGCAUUUAAAACGCUAUUUCGAUUUUGAGCUUCAAUCAUGGUGAUUUCAAGUGAGGUUAUUAAAUCACUGUAACUUUUGAAGAAAACAUGAAAAAAUUAACCUCACGUCUCUUAGCUUGCUUCCUUUAUUAUGUUAGAGUCACUUGUGCCUGCUAGCAUUUCCAGUUUGGGGAAGGCAGGCUCUAGGUUCGGCUUAUCCUCAUGAUGGCGUUUCCUUUUGAAGGGUGUUGGCGGUGGAGAAAGCAGGACUGAAGGUGAGCCUCACAGUGGGACACCUUCUGUUGGCUCCCUCAGAAACUUCACAGGGAGUGUGUCAUAGGGAGGCUGCUCAGGCGGCCAUAACCAAAGACCACAGACCAGAUGGCUUAAACAAUAGACAUUUAUUUCCUCACAGUUCUGCAGUCUGGGAGUCCAAGAUCAAGGUGCCGUCAGGGUUGGUUUCUGGUGAUGGUAUCCUUCUUGGCUUGUACAUGGCCACCUUCUUGCUGUGUCCUCACAUGGCCUCUUCUCUGUACAAGGGGAGAGAGAGAGAGAGAGAGAGCGAGAGCGAGCUCUGAGCUCUCUUCCUCUUCUUAUAAGGACACUAGCAUUACUGAAUCAGGGCUCCGCCCUGUGACCUCAUUUAACCUUAAUUACCUCCCUAAAGGCCCUGUCACCAAAUAGUCCCAUUGAGGAUUAGGGCUUCAAUCUAUGAAUUCAAAAUAUGAAAAGACGUAUUUCAGUCCCUAACAGGGAGGAAGGAAGAAAUUAUUUUAAAGUUUUCUUAAAGUUGACAUUUCUGAAAAAAACAUAUUUAAUUUCCAAAUUUAGAAGACUUUUAGAGCCAAUUGCCUGCAGAAUUUCUUUCACAAGUGACUGAAACCCAGCUCAAAUAAGCCAAAGCAAAACUGGACAUCUUUUGGCUCACACAGCAGAUGGUAGGGGGUCAAAUACGUUAGCCACAGCUGGAUCCAGGGGUUCACAUCAUCAGGUCUCUCUGUCCCCUUUCCCGCUGUGUUUGGCUUCUUCUUCAGAUGGGUCCUCUCCCUUGGUGGCAUUGAUGACUUGGGGCUCCAGGGUGACCUGGUUCUGGAUUGGCAUUUGCGACUCUAACAGGAGAGACACUCUCUCCCAAGGGUCAACUCUGAUUGCCCCUGUGUGCGGUGGGGAUACUUUCUGGCGGCCUGGACGCUUGCAGUUAUGGGCUGGCAGCCCCAGCAGAUGGGGAAGGACCUACUCUCAAACAGAAGACUCUGGGCAGAUUGAACUUUAAGAUGUGCCACAGUCUUCCCCUUCUAAGUUCCUGAGAUGAGACCAUUUCUUUGUACUUUGUAACUUCUAUAAUUUUAUAAGUAAUGGUUCAGAGAAGGUUCAAGUUCAUCUUUAUCACACUCGGAGAGCUUCUAUUUUAAGGUCAUUAGGGUCUUUUGGAAAGCCGGUUGGUACCAUGUUGACCUUUGCAGGUAUCUCUCUGCAGACCCUUCAGGCCGCCUGACCUUGUCACCAUCGGCAGAUUUGGCUGUGGCUUCUUUGCUAUGCGCAGGCUCUCUACAGAUGACCUUAAUCUCUGCCCUGCUCCUCAAACUUUCCCUUCUCUGCUCCCUUCUGCACACCCAGUCAGCCCACACCUGUGGGUUCGGGUGUCUGAUGCCUCAUCCAAAAUUCUCGGGCUGAGAAUAUUUCCAAUUUUAGAAGGACCACGCUGUACGUAUACUGGAUACUGACAUUCCCAGCAGGGUCUGGGGUAGCAGCCAGAAACCCAGCUCCUUAACACUUCUGCAGGGCAACAAUGAAUGUUGACACUAGGUGGGAAUAAAGGAGGAAGUCUAUAGUGGCCUUACAUCAGUCAGGUCAGGUCAGGCAUGGUCACCAAGUAAGUUACAAGAGAUUUGUUUUCAGGGCUCUUUGUAUUUCAGAUUUGUGAAUAAGGGAUCCUGGACCAAUACUGGCUUGUGUAUGGUAGGUGCUCAUGAAUGCUUUGUUGAGUCUCACUCACUAUGACUUGUAUCUGUGAAAUUUAAAACUUAAGAAACAUUUAUGGGGCACCUGGGUGGCUCAGUCAGUUAAGGGUCUGACUUCAGCUCAGGUCAUAAUCUUGCAGUUAGUGAGUUCGAGCUCCUCAUCAGGCUUUGUGCUGACAGCUCAGAGCCUGGAACCUGCUUCAGGUUCUGUGUCUCCCUCUCUCUCUGCUCUUCCCCCACUUUCUCUCUCUCUCUCUCUCUCUCUCUCUCUCUCUCUCUCUCUCCCUCCCUC